UGGCUCAUGGUGUCCCAGGUGGAGCAUCCGUGUUCUGUGUUCCAUGUCCUGGCUGGAGCAUCCAUGUUCCAUGUUCCAUGUCCUGUCUGCAGUGCCAUGUCCCAUGUGCAGCACCCACAUCCAUGUCUAUGCCCUAUGUUCCACAUCCAUGUCCAUGCCCUAUAUCCCACAUCCAUGUCCAUGUCCAUGUGCAGCAUCCAUGUCCCACAUCCAUGUUCCAUGUCCGCAUCCAUGUCCAUGUCCCACAUCCAUGGGAGCACCACAUCCAUGUUCCAUGUUCCAUGUGCAUGCGCAGCAUCCAUGUCCAUGUUCCACAUCCAUGUUCCAUGUUCAAUGUCCCAUAUCCAUGUGCAGCAUCCAUGUCCAUGUCUAUGUCCCACAUCCAUGUUCCAAGUUCCAUGUCCCACCUCCGUGUUGGUGUCCAUGUCCAUGUGCAGCAUCCACGUCAGUGUCCAUGUCAGCAGCGCCGUGGGGAGCUCGGGUAUCGCUGCCGCAGCUCAGAGCGGAAGCUCCGGAACAGGAUCCGGUUCCGUUCCUGCUCUGCCGCUCGUCCCCCAUGGAACCCGGAGGCCUCCUUGAAGCCAACGUGAACCACGAAGGCUCCGUCCAGCACCGCGAACCGGAACCCAGCCACAUGCAGCUCACAGGCCUGGGGACACAGGGCAUGGCAGGAGCCGGGCACACAGCACACAUAGACACCCAUAGACACACACAGCACACACAGCACCCAUAGACACACACAGCACACACAGCACCCAUAGCACCCAUAGACACCCAUGGACCC
rnacentral:lncRNA from 14 species